UAACCGGCGCCGCAGCCGGAGGCCGUUAGAGGGAGGAGCGAGCGGGCCCUCGCGGGAGACGCUGCGCACAACGGCCCGAAUGCUGGGGCCGGGGCAACGCCCGCAGAGGACGCUUGGGGGAUGCAGAGGUCCGCUGAGCUACAGGGAACGGAAAGUGUGGGACAGGCUACUGGCUUCAAGGAGCCAAGUGACGCGCGUGGUUGAACGGAAAGCCGAGCUCCCUCCGAGCUCUCGCUUCCUCCCAACGCAACUGCUCUGGGGACUUUGUGCGUUUCUCUGUCGCUCUGCCUGCUUUUCCCACACUUUCUUUGAGGGCUCUGAUGUGGUCCUGCCGCCCCUCAAGUCCCCCGCCUGCGUGCCCAACCGCGCAGAUUUAAUGAGUCCCGAAGUCUCCUGCCUACCACCUCCGCUGUGGGGCGUUAGCCCGGGAGUGGGGAGUCGGCUCAGCUUGCCACCAGGAAACGGCCAGACAAUGCAACCUACUACUGAUUAUUCCACAGUACUGCCACAUUCCAAGAAUGUCUUCCUGAGACUAUAUUCUUAUGACCUGAUGGAAAUUUAGAAAUUAAUCACAAAAGCAAUACAUUUGCAGCUGAUUCCAAAGGUUAAGUUGGAUACAGAAUAAGUUUUAGGAAAUAAGGCUUGAGAGUUGCAAUCCAACAUGGAAAAUAAGAUGAAUCAACUUCCCAGGCUGCAUGAGUAUUCACAUUUCUGAGUUGCAACAGGUUUGUUUCUUCUUUUGACCUCAAAAACUAUUUUGGAACUUUGAGGAAUCUUCACGGCCUCUUAAGUUUUGCUUAUAGUCCUCAAAGAGGGAUAGCAUCACAACCUAACAGAGAUGGCAUCAUCUGGUCUACAGUAUCAAUAAUCUUAUCACAGAUCCACUCCUGUGGUUUCGCAUUCAGACUCGUUGAGGGUUCCACUUCAUUGUCAACUUCAUUCACGUUCACAUUUAGCAUCACAGCUAAUCAUUUUUUAAUUGGUAGUCUGCAACUCUUUGCCUCAGUUUUAAGCAGAGUCAGAUUUUUUUUUGUUUGUUUGAAAAUUGUUAUAUCACCAUUAACAAAUGCUUUACUAGUUUAUCUAUUUGGCCAGCAAUUGCUUCUGAAUAGGCCAGCUUGGGAGGAAUUUUCUUGACAUUAGUUUUCAUUUGUACCUUGACUUUGGAGGUGAACUAAUGUCAUUUUUAAUUUCUUCAGGAGGCAUUUUGUCAAAGGAUUCCUUUUCAGUUCCUUCAUCUUCGUCAUCUGCUUCAUCUUCAUAAGUAUCAUUUCCUCAUAUUUCUGUAGCAUUCCUGAUAUUUUUGCAUCUAUUAUUUCUUAGCCUCUUCAUGAUAUCUUGAAUCCUAUUUUUUCUUUCGAGUCUUUCCAGCAGAUGCUCUCUCGAAGGAACACCUGAGCAGUGCAUCCCAUAGCCACCAUAAAACACCCCUUGCGCAACACUGAUCCAUUUCUCCACCCUUUUUCUGGGAACAGCUCCCCUACGAUUCCUCUAGACCUCUCUUUUCCAGUGAAAGCUUAGAAGAAGGAAGUUAUUGGGACAAACUAUGCCCUUAUCACUCAGUUGGUCUAAGGGCUGCAACUGUUACUUAUCUUCCUCCUCCUCCACUACCCAUUUCAUAUUCUACUGUUCUUUACCUGUCACCUCCAUAGGUCUUAGUGGUUUACCUGGGUGUGACUCAAAUCCUCAUUCCUGAUGAGAAUGCCUGUUUAUUGGUAAUUAUACACUUCUCAGGCUGGGAUUGCUGUACAAGUCUUUCCACGGUUCCAAUUAAGUAUUAAGAGACUUCCAAGUGGAUCAUCUAGGGUCCACAUAUUUUUUUUCCUGCUCAUUAUAUGAAAGCAGCCCUUCCUCUUCCUGUUGAUCUAGGUCAAUUACUCCUGCCAAGGCGGAAAUCCUUCUUGCCUUCUGGUGCCUGGACACAGUCCAAAGUACCCAAACAGUAGCCAUAGCUUGUAGUUCAGUGGGACCCUUGUUGUUGUGUUCCCUGGCAAAAAUGCACCUCUUUGAGGACCAGGAUUUCUAAACCUGUACAGAGUCUCCUAAUGACUCAUUGAGAUGUUAAGUAAGACCACUUCUGCUCCUACCUCACAUAUUCUUUCUAUUAGAGGAAGUGCCAUUCAGAGGUCUCUGAUUUAGCAUAUAUACUGCAUCUUGAAAGAUGGCACUCCAUCCUUACAGAAUAUUGCCUGGCUAUUCUGUUGCACUUUUCGUACAUUGCCCAGGCUGGCAAUAUCUGAAUAGUCUUCUAGGUGAUGCAACCAGUGGAUGCCAUGGUCAUGAGCCCGGACCCACAUCAUCUUUACUGUGAAGUGGUUCCCCUAUUUGGAUGCUAUGUUGUGUUGGAUCCUCUGGCAGUGGAUCAAGCUUGAUCUUUUUUCUCUUCCCUCAGCUGGUCACAUGUGACCCCUAUUUGGCCAUACAGCCUGAGGGAGAGGUACUGGUACAAACAUAGUAGGUGAUAUGGGGGUCUGGGCUAUUAGCUCAUGCAGUUUACUCAUGCUUUCUGGUCCUACUGGGGUUUGAUUUUGAAUACAUCAUUUCUAUAUUAUGAUGAACUGCUGCUGGGCCCAUCAACUUUAUGACUGGGUGUGUCUAAUAGAACUCAGCUCAAAAUGGGCACUUAUGGACACAUGGUAACUUGGCACCCCAUGGUCAAGCUUUCUGCCUCUACUAGGGCCCAGUACCACGUCAGGGGCUGUUUCUUAAAAGGAGUAAACCCUCUGCUGCAGAUGGCACAGCCUUGCUCCAAAAUCCCGGAGGCCUAUAUUGUGCUCUCCUACUGGGACUUGCUGUAAAUUCCACACUGACUGCCGCAGAGCCCAUCGCUGUUCCAGACUGCACUCAGAACUGGCAACCUUCCAUGUUACCCAGGAUAUGAGCCAGAGUGGUGUCCAAAGGUGUGGAAUUUGUGCUUCUAGAACCCAAUGUGACUUACCAGGCAUCGUGCUUUAUGUAGUAGGAGAUGCAAGAUACAGAAGUUUGUCUUUUACUCUGGAGGGGAUGUCUCCACAUAUCACUGACUACGGGACCUCAAAAAACUUUACAGAAGUAGCAGAUCCCUGAACCUUUAUAGUGUUUAUCUCCCACCCUCUGGAUGCAUAUAUCUUGUCAAGGCCUCGAACAUAUAAGCCAUCUCUUGCUCGUCCUACCCAUCAGUAUAUUAUUGGUAUAACAUAUCAGUAUGAUGUUCUGCAGGAUGUCCACACAGUCUGGAUCUCUUCAGACUGUAUUGCAAUAGAGGGUAGAAGAGUUAACAUAGUCCUUGGAUAAAAUUGGAAAUAAAUAUUAUGUUUUCCACAUGAAUGCAAA